UUUUUUUUUUUUUUUUUUUUUAAUGUAAUCCUGAGGAGAGUGGCUUGACCUUGCUUGCUGAAAUGUCCACAGAGGUGAAGAAGCAUGAAGAAUGGGAGGCAUCCAUCCCAGAAGAGCAGGCCUGCCAAUUAUAGCAGGGGUUCUACAGCAGAAAUAAGAAGGUGUGGACCUGUGGGAAGAGGCUCUGGGGACAUUGUUUCAGGCUCCUGCUGAAGCCAGCAUUUAGGAGAUGGACAGCUGUUCAAGGAAAGGAAGCUCACACGUAUUCAUGUUUACCCAGCCUCUCAAGUUCUGACUGAAUUCAUGCAUCUAAUCUAAAAGAAAGUUAAGAAAAACAAGGCAUCACAUCAGGACUCAAAAAGUUUUGGCGUUUGGAGCAGCCCAGACCUUGGAUUUUGACUUACAGAGGUCCAACCUGAAGUAAAUCUAUAUUGAAGAUAAAUCUGAGGCCCAGGAGAAGAUUUAUCAAAGAAACUUACUUUUAAGGAAGCCAGUGAUCCUAUAAGAAGGAUCGUCAGUGUAAAUCAAGCCAAAAGACUUAGAUGCUCUCUCCAGCACCCAGACAAUUGCCAACACCCAGAGCAGGAUUGGUCCUGCUUGCUCCAUCUUCACUCUCCACUGGUUAAUGGUGGGCUCACGACUUUCAUGCGGGAGAUUGGACACCCAACAGAAGACCCGGAAGACCAGGAGGCUGCCCUUCCCGCCUCUGGCUUUGAUCUGCCAGAGUUGAUAAGAUUUUGAUUCACAGUUACUACCUGCCACCAGCUUUACAGCGGGAGAGUGAAAGAACACGCAGCACCCUGUACGGAUAGUCAGAGGCUUGCACCUCACAGCAGAGCUGGCUCUGACAGACAAACGCUGAUUAGGAUAAGGUCUUGAGUAGUCCAGACAGACCUCAAAUUCAUUGAAUAGCUGGGGAUGACCUUGAACACCUGACCCCACUUCAUCUACCUCUUUCAAGUGCUGGGACUUCCGGCUCCUGAUGCAGCUGCUAUCUUCGGACCUCCUGGACAGCCCAGGGAAGGAAGUGGGAGCUCCUGCCGCAGAUGGGUGGAACAGCGACAAGAAAGGCUGAAGGUGGCCAAAAAUAACAGUGCCUUCCAGAUGAGGUGACCUCAGGGCCAAGAGCUUCAUGGGGUAGAGUAUCUUGUUCCUAGUUUUAUGAUCUAAAAAAGUACACAGAAGAUGCAAAGAUACUCCACAGAGAAGGAAUAAAGUCUGCAGAGAACAGGGAAAUGUGAUUCGUUACUUUUUUUUUUUAAUUGAGUUUCUUUGUGCACAAACACACAAGAAAACAGCCUUUUAUACAUGUUUGAAGAAAGACCGUAGGUAGUUGAAGACAGAUGAUAGAUACGUAGAUAGGUAGAUAGGUAGACAGACAGAAAAGACAGACAUAACAUAGUGCACUCGAAGACGGAAAAGGAGGAAGAGGUAGAGACAACGCUGCCUUCCUUUGUUUGCUACUGAAACAAAUUUAAUAAAUCUUCA